rnacentral:lncRNA from 1 species
AGAUUAGUCUCAGGGAUGCCAUGUCAGUUAAGAGUAAUCUAUGGUCCUUUCAAAACUCUUGCUGGGUUUUGCCUAAGAUUCGAAGCCUAAAGCUCUGAAUUCUGACCUCCCUGAUUACUGACUGAGGAAACAAUAUCCCCAAAAUGGAAAGCUCCAGGUCUGUGUGCUUAGAUUUAGGCUCCAAGGACUGAACACCCUGCAUGUAAGGUGUGUGUCUAAGCAGUAUUUAUGACAUAACAAACCAGCCAAGAGCUGGAGGUUCUGAUCAGCAAAUAAGGAAGGAACAACAUCUGACAUCUUUACCCACUUUAACUCAUCAAGCAAAGAACUUGUAAUACGCUGAAUGCUGCAUAGAAGGUUUUGAAACUACUUACCUGCUGUGGAACACCUGUAUAACUUUAAAAUGCAUCAAUCAAUCUCGAGAGUAUGAUCAUGCUUCCUGCUUUUAAGGAUCUGAAGUUAACUGCAACUCCAAGUAUACAAGACUUCUUUGGGACCCAUGGAAGCAUCUCUACAUGCUCAUGUUUGCCAGAUUCAGUGGCCUCCUGAAACCUGGCCCUAGCUAAUAAGUUAAAAAGCUCUAAGUAAUCCCGAGCUGCAUUUGAAUCUCCAAGAUCACUUGUUCAUGGGUUGGUAAUACUUUAAAGAGCCAUUUGUUUAACUGCUAAUCUGGAUCUUAUAUUCUGAGCCCCAGCUUUUUUCUAAAGCAAAGAAAAUACAAAAUAAAAGUAAGACCAAAUGCCUUUGUACCAUGGAGAGAGAAAUGACUCAUUGGAAUGCUUCUGUUUUUCAUCACAUCAAAGAUGCAUCAACAUAAAUCAACCAUUAUAUCAUGCACCAUGAUAAAAAAGGGGGAUAAAAGUCCCCAAACCACUGCCAAUUAAACCAACACAGUGCCUUUGUAUUAUUCAGAAUUUUUAUCUUAGCCUUAUUGAAAGAGCUUUUUUAGAACAUAUUUAAACAAUUCUGUCAUAUUUCAUUCUUGCAUACUCAUUAAAAAGGAAAAUAUGAGAGAUACAAAUGAAAGGUUUCCAAAA